UACGUAGGGGGCAAGCGUUGUCCGGAUUUAUUGGGCGUAAAGAGCUCGUAGGCGGUCUGUCGCGUCGGCUGUGAAAACCCGGGGCUCAACCCCGGGCCUGCAGUCGAUACGGGCAGACUAGAGUGUGGUAGGGGAGACUGGAAUUCCUGGUGUAGCGGUGAAAUGCGCAGAUAUCAGGAGGAACACCGGUGGCGAAGGCGGGUCUCUGGGCCAUAACUGACGCUGAGGAGCGAAAGCGUGGGGAGCGAACAGG
rnacentral:rRNA from 1 species